CCUUUGUCCAGUAGGGAAUAUAGGAUACGACUAUAUUUUUAGAAUUGGUUUGGGGGAAACUGGUUAUGGUAUUUCUUUUUUUUUGCCUUUACUUUUGCCGAGGACGAUGAAUAGCUACCCUCCUCCUUCGUUCACUUGACACCUUGAUUUCAUUUGAUUAUUGAGAGCUUCGAGACAUUUGACUAUGUCUCCUUUUUCUUUC
rnacentral:lncRNA from 1 species